UACGAAGGGUGCAAGCGUUACUCGGAAUUACUGGGCGUAAAGCGUGCGUAGGUGGUUUGUUAAGUCUGCUGUGAAAGCCCCGGGCUCAACCUGGGAAUGGCAGUGGAUACUGGCAAGCUAGAGUGCGGUAGAGGGGUGUGGAAUUCCCGGUGUAGCGGUGAAAUUCGUAGAUAUUGGGAAGAACACCGGUGGCGAAGGCGGCUCUCUGGACCGAUACUGACGCUGAGGCGCGAAAGCGUGGGGAGCAAACAGG
rnacentral:rRNA from 1 species